rfam:Brachypodium distachyon strain Bd21 chromosome 4, whole genome shotgun sequence.
UUUCUACUCCCUCCGUCCAACAAAAGAUGUUUCAAGUUUGUCAAAAUUUGGAUGUAUCUAGACAUGAGUUAGUAUAGAUGCAUUCAAACUUAAUCAAAGUUGAGACAUCCUUUGUUGGACGGAGGGAGUAAAAG